UACGAAGGGGGCUAGCGUUGUUCGGAAUUACUGGGCGUAAAGCGCGCGCAGGCGGUCCUUUAAGUCAGGGGUGAAAGCCCAGAGCUCAACUCUGGAACUGCCUUUGAAACUAGAGGACUUGGGUACGGGAGAGGUGAGUGGAAUUCCGAGUGUAGAGGUGAAAUUCGUAGAUAUCUGGAGGAACACCGGUGGCGAAGGCGGCAUCCUGGACCAAUUCUGACACUGAGGAGCGAAAGCCAGGGGAGCAAACGGG
rnacentral:rRNA from 1 species